GUUUACAUAAAAGAUUCUAACUUUAAACAAAUCAAUAAAAAAAGAUUCCAACUUUCAGAAGAAAGAUUUCCCCAAUUUCAACCCCGGAUCAGUUCGUUGAUUAUCUUGAACCCUAAAUUCUGAAAAAGAAAGAACAAAAAUGGAAGAAAAGAGGAAAUUGCCAUCAUGGAUGAUGGGUGUGAAAAAGGAUGAAAAUAAUAGUAGUAAUAAUAAUAGUGUGAGUAAAGCCCUUGAUUUGGAUGAUGUUGUGAAUAAGGAUGAGGAUGUGAGUAAAUUUGUAAAGCCCAAGGCGAAACGUGUAGUCCCCCGGAAAAAGUUUAGUAAUGAGAAAGCAGUUUUAGUUAAAUGUGAAACGAAGCGGAAGAAAAGAGGGCUUGUUGAGGAGGAUGUGAUUGAAUGCGACGGUUUCGAGGGAGGAGGAGUUGUUGAACGGAGAAAGCAUGGAUGGGUGGGGAGGAAAGGCGGGGACAAUGGGGCGGUAGGGGGAAAGGAAGAUGAAAGGUGUGAGUUUGAUGGUGGGAACGAAGAUAAAGAUUUGUACCCUUCUUGUGGCGAAGAGGAUGAUGAUGUUGAUGUUGAUUUGACAAUGGAGGAUCUUUUAAGCAUUGCAAAAGAGUUUGUUGAAAAUGACAAGAGAGAUUUGAGUCAAAAGAAGCGAGCAGAAGAACACUGCAAAUUAAAAAGUGAUGCUUUAUAUACUUCUUUGGAUAAAACCAGAAAUUCUCUUCUUGCCUCUCAAGAUACUACAUCACACAUGCAUGAAGAAACAACUUCGCAUCAUGAUUGCGUUGAGAAUACAGCGAGUGAAGUUACAUUACCUGAUUUCCAAAUGACUGAGGAUUCAACACAGGACAUGCUCAAUCUGUUUUUGGGGCCUUUACUUAUGAAGCCGAUAGCAAAAGAAGACCCUCGCCCAGUUAAAAAUAUAAGUAUAUCCCAUGAAAUCAAGAAUCAACUAAACGAAGCAGUUAUCAGUGAUAAACCAGUCACUGUGACAAAGAAGAAAAGCAGGCUUAGAGAAGCAGUAGCCAUGCUUCUGGAUUGUGAAACAUAGUAAACUCAAUGGCAAACAGUUUGUUGAAAGUUGAAACAAGAGUGAUAUGGGUCAAAAGAAGGCAUCAGAAGGAUACUGCAAAUCAAAAAGUAAAUCCUCAUGCAUUUCUUCAUCAAAUACCGGAAGUUCUCUCAUUGCUCCUCAAGAUUCCACUUCCAGAUCACACAUGUAUGAAUAAAUGUUUCUCAUCAUGUUUUCAUUGAGAAUACCAGUAAAGGUACAUUACCAUAUGGAACUGAUAGGAAAAAAAGAGCCCUUCUCAAUCAAGGUUAUGAAUAUUCCUCGUGAAUUAGAGAAGCAACUACAUAAUGCUGUUAUAGCCAGUUCACCAUGACAAAGAAGCAAAGGAACCUCAGGGAUGCAGUAGUCAUGCUUCUUUACUGAAAUGAAUUUAAUCUGAGAAUAUUAUGAACUUCAAGCUGAAGGUGGUGGACCCAUGUCGUAGCUACGAGUACGGCUGAUUUUUGGUGGCGGUGGAGCUGAAAUUGUUCUCAGCGUUCUCCGAUUCUUUGAAGCCGCAAAUUUCUGUUGCCAAAACUGAACCAACUUUCUUGUUCUUUGGGUACAUUCGGAAUCAGUAUCUAUAUGCACAUAACAAAGUUAAGUUGCAAGUUUUGUAAUUGGUUUUUAUACAACGCCCAUUACUUCAAGAAUGACUGAUAGUUUGCAAUGAAGUUACGAUUAUAAUAGCUAAAGAAUUGAUUCACCCUAUUGAUAAA